rnacentral:rRNA from 1 species
AUGGCGGGAGGCGGCGGUCGAAGGGACGCGGAGGCCGCCGUGAGGAUCGGCAGCGGCAACGUGUUCGCCGCGCUCGAGGCGCUCAAGAAGAAGAAGAAGAAGAAGCCUUCCGCGUCCUCGUCCGCUCCGGGGCGGAAGGUGAACGGGACCAAGAAGCCCGCCGCGCCAGGGAAGGGGGAGGAGAACGCGCCGCGGCGGCCGCCGGAGGUUUUCUGGGCGCCCGCGCCGCUCAAGUCGAAGUCGUGGGCCGACGUAGAGGACGAGGACGACGACGACUACUUCGCCACCACCGCCCCUCCGCGUCCCGUCUGGGAAACCGCCUCCGCCGCCGCGGACGGCAAGGCCGGCGCCGAGGAGGAAACUGAGAGUGAAGAUGAUGGUCUUGAUGUUGACGUGGGUGAUGAUGAGCUAGAGGAACCUGAGCAUGGACAUGAAGUUGAUGUACCAUCUGAACCUGAGGUUAAAGAAUCUGCUCCAGUGCCUGUCCAUUCUAAAGACACAGAAAAGCAACUUUCAAAGAAGGAAUUGAAGAAGAAAGAGCUUGCAGAACUAGAUGCUGUUCUGGCCGAGUUGGGGAUUUCUGAAAAUGCUACACUGGCUGACGUCACGAGUAAAUCUGAAAGAAAGCCUGAUGGACAGAAAGGAGAUGGGGAUAAGAAGGGUCUUCCUGUACCAUCAGAAAGCAAGACUUCAAAAAAGAAGAAACUAAGGAAUGAGAAACCAUCUAAGGAUUCCAAAGAGCAGCCCAAUGAAGUGGAUUCCAGCAAGGACCAUGGAGAGGCGGCCGAUGAGUCUGGAGAGGAAGCUACCGCUGUGGACUUGAAGGAGAAGAUGAAGAAGAUAGCUGCAUCGAAAAAGAAAAAAUCAAGCAAGGAGGUGGAUGCUGCCGCCAAGCACGCUGCAAUGGAGGCUGCCGCUAGGAGUGCGAAGCUCGCUGCUGCAAAGAAGAAAGAGAAGAGCCACUACAACCAACAGCCCGUGCGAUAG